rnacentral:miRNA from 1 species
GCAGACACAUUCCAGCCAAUCAGCAGCAGACCCUCCCUCCCAGACCCUCCCACCUCCUGGACAGCUCACUAAGAAUGCAGCUUCACAAUGAAUGUAAAAUGGAUGCUGUCCAGGAGGUGGGAGGGUUUGGGAGGGAGGGUCUGCUGCUGAUUGGCUGGAAUGUGUCUG